GUGGCUUUUAAGGACACCAGAGAAACACUCAUGGAGCCAGAGGUGGCAAAUCACCGAAUUAGAAUUACCCUAACCAGCUGCAAAGAAAAAUCCCUGGAGGUGUGUGCUGACUUGAUCAGAGGCCCCAAGGAAAGAACUCUCAAAAGUGACAGGACCAAUUCUGAUGCCUCCCAGGACUUUGAGAAUCACCCUGAGAAAAACUUGUGACAACAACAAAAACUUGUGGUGCAGGUUCUAAGACGCAGGGUGUCUUCCAGAUAAGAAUCCACAAGUGACUCAUUGACUUGCACCGUCCUCUGAGGUUAUCAGCUCAUUACUUCCAUUAGUAAUGUGCCCAGGAGUGAAGGCUGAAGUCACCAUUGCAGAUGCUUAG
rnacentral:lncRNA from 1 species